rnacentral:rRNA from 1 species
AGUCGAGGGGCAUCAGGAAGAAAGCUUGCUUUCUUUGCUGGCGACCGGCCCAUGGGUGAGUAACACGUAUCCAACCUGCCCUUUACUCGGGGCUAGCCUUUCGAAAGAAAGAUUAAUACCCGAUGGCAUAAUGAUUCCGCAUGGUUUCAUUAUUAAAGGAUUCCGGUAAAGGAUGGGGAUGCGUUCCAUUAGGUUGUUGGUGAGGUAACGGCUCACCAAGCCUUCGAUGGAUAGGGGUUCUGAGAGGAAGGUCCCUCACAUUGGAACUGAGACACGGUCCAAACUCCUACGGGAGGCAGCAGUGAGGAAUAUUGGUCAAUGGGCGCUAGCCUGAACCAGCCAAGUAGCGUGAAGGAUGAAGGCUCUAUGGGUCGUAAACUUCUUUUGUAUAAGAAUAAAGUGCAGUAUGUAUACUGUUUUGUAUGUAUUAUAUGAAUAAGGAUCGGCUAACUCCGUGCCAGCAGCCGCGGUAAUACGGAGGAUCCGAGCGUUAUCCGGAUUUAUUGGGUUUAAAGGGAGCGUAGGUGGACUGGUAAGUCAGUUGUGAAAGUUUGCGGCUCAACCGUAAAAUUGCAGUUGAUACUGUCAGUCUUGAGUACAGUAGAGGUGGGCGGAAUUCGUGGUGUAGCGGUGAAAUGCUUAGAUAUCACGAAGAACUCCGAUUGCGAAGGCAGCACACUGGACUGCAACUGACACUGAUGCUCGAAAGUGUGGGUAUCAAACA